AGCUUUGCGCAGUGGCAGUAUCGUAGCCAAUGAGGUUUAUCCGAAGCGCGAUUAUUGCUAAUUGAAAAAACAAA
rnacentral:snRNA from 1 species